rnacentral:rRNA from 1 species
CUACGGGGAGGCAGCAGUAGGGAAUCUUCGGCAAUGGGGGGCACCCUGACCGAGCCGCCGCGUGAGUGAAGAAGGUUUUCGGAUCGUAAAGCUCUGUUGUAAGUCAAGAACGGGUGUGAGAGUGGAAAAUUCACACUGUGACGGUAGCUUACCAGAAAGGGACGGCUAACUACGUGCCAGCAGCCGCGGUAAUACGUAGGUCCCGAGCGUUGUCCGGAUUUAUUGGGCGUAAAGCGAGCGCAGGCGGUUUGAUAAGUCUGAAGUUAAAGGCUGUGGCUCAACCAUAGUUCGCUUUGGAAACUGUCAAACUUGAGUGCAGAAGGGGAGAGUGGAAUUCCAUGUGUAGCGGUGAAAUGCGUAGAUAUAUGGAGGAACACCGGUGGCGAAAGCGGCUCUCUGGUCUGUAACUGACGCUGAGGCUCGAAAGCGUGGGGAGCGAACAGGAUUAGAUACCCUGGGGUAG